CCGGUCUGAACUCAGAUCAUGUAAGAAUUUAAAGGUCGAACAGACCUAUGAAAUAAGCAGCUACACCUAAUCAUAAUCUUAAUCCAACAUCGAGGUCGCAAGCCCUUUUGUAAAUUAGAACUCCAAAAAAGGAUUACGCUGUUAUCCCUAAGGUAACUUAAUCUAGUAAUCACUAAUAGUGGAUCAAAAAAUCAUAAAUCAAUGAAAGAAAAAAAUUAAAAGUUAAUUAUAUUUAAAUAUCACCCCAAUAAAACAAUUAAAUAAUAAACCCAAUAAAUAUAAACAAUUAACAAGUUAAAAAAUAAAUGUAAAGCUCUAUAGGGUCUUCUCGUCUUCCAAUAAAAUUUUAAAGCCUUUUAACCAAAAAGUCAAAUUCAAAAAAUCAAAAUGAGACAGUUAACACCUCGUCAAGCCCUUCAUACCAGCCCCCUAUUAAAAGACUAAUGAUUAUGCUACCUUUGCACGGUCAAUGUACCGCGGCCGUUAAAUAAAAUCACCGGGCAGGCCAAACCUCCUAUUAACAAAACAGGAAGAC
rnacentral:rRNA from 1 species